AACGAACGCUGGCGGCAGGCCUAACACAUGCAAGUCGAACGCCCUAGCAAUAGGGAGUGGCGCACGGGUGCGUAACGCGUGGGAAUAUGCCCUUCACUGCGGAAUAACGUUUGGAAACGAACGCUAAUACCGCAUAAUGACUCCGGUCCAAAGAUUUAUCGGUGAAGGAUUAGCCCGCGUUAGAUUAGCUAGUUGGUGAGGUAAUGGCUCACCAAGGCGACGAUCUAUAGCUGGUCUGAGAGGAUGAUCAGCCACACUGGGACUGAGACACGGCCCAGACUCCUACGGGAGGCAGCAGUGAGGAAUAUUGGACAAUGGGCGCAAGCCUGAUCCAGCCAUGCCGCGUGAGUGAAGAAGGCCUUCGGGUUGUAAAGCUCUUUCAGAUGUGAAGAUAAUGACGGUAGCAUCAGAAGAAGCCCGGCUAAACUUCGUGCCAGCAGCCGCGGU
rnacentral:rRNA from 1 species